GCCUGGAAUUCGUCGCCAAUUCUGAUUUUCUUUUCACCUCUUCUGAUCUUGCUCGUCCUGUAGGAACAGAGUAAGCAAAUUAGUUCGUCAAAUUCCACUCCUCCUGCACGUAUGACCUCUCUUAAGCUGUCCAAGAAAAACAUUUAUUCAUUGGAUCGGUGGCUGGAUUGGAAUUAGGAAGCCGGGUAAUUUAAAACUGCCGACACCAUAGGUUUUUUUUUUUGAGAGGAUUUCUGCCGACACCAUAGGUGUGUUGCAAAUCUGGCACACAUCAAUAGC
rnacentral:lncRNA from 1 species